GAUGAACGCUGGCGGCGUGCCUAAUACAUGCAAGUAGAACGCUGAAGCUUGGUGCUUGCACCGAGCGGAUGAGUUGCGAACGGGUGAGUAACGCGUAGGUAACCUGCCUGGUAGCGGGGGAUAACUAUUGGAAACGAUAGCUAAUACCGCAUAACAGUAGAUAUUGCAUGAUAUCUGCUUGAAAGGGGCAAUUGCUCCACUACCAGAUGGACCUGCGUUGUAUUAGCUAGUUGGUGAGGUAACGGCUCACCAAGGCGACGAUACAUAGCCGACCUGAGAGGGUGAUCGGCCACACUGGGACUGAGACACGGCCCAGACUCCUACGGGAGGCAGCAGUAGGGAAUCUUCGGCAAUGGACGGGAGUCUGACCGAGCAACGCCGCGUGAGUGAAGAAGGUUUUCGGAUCGUAAAGCUCUGUUGUAAGAGAAGAACGAGUGUGAGAGUGGAAAGUUCACACUGUGACGGAACUACCAGAAAGGACG
rnacentral:rRNA from 1 species